rnacentral:rRNA from 1 species
AUUGAACGCUGGCGGCAGGCUUAACACAUGCAAGUCGAGCGGAGCGAGGGUGCUUGCACCUUAGCUUAGCGGCGGACGGGUGAGUAAUGCUUAGGAAUCUGCCUAUUAGUGGGGGACGACAUUCCGAAAGGGAUGCUAAUACCGCAUACGCCCUACGGGGGAAAGCAGGGGAUCUUCGGACCUUGCGCUAAUAGAUGAGCCUAAGUCGGAUUAGCUAGUUGGUGGGGUAAAGGCCUACCAAGGCGACGAUCUGUAGCGGGUCUGAGAGGAUGAUCCGCCACACUGGGACUGAGACACGGCCCAGACUCCUACGGGAGGCAGCAGUGGGGAAUAUUGGACAGUGGGCGGAAGCCUGAUCCAGCCAUGCCGCGUGUGUGAAGAAGGCCUUUUGGUUGUAAAGCACUUUAAGCGAGGAGGAGGCUACUAGUAUUAAUACUACUGGAUAGUGGACGUUACUCGCAGAAUAAGCACCGGCUAACUCUGUGCCAGCCGCCGCAGUAACAC